rnacentral:rRNA from 1 species
GAAACAUCUAAGUACCCGGAGGAAGAGAAAGAAAUUCGAUUCCGUAAGUAGCGGCGAGCGAAAGCGGAACAGGCCAAACCAAUGAAGUUUACUUCGUUGGGGUUGCGGACAUACAACAUGGAUGCAAUAUCGUAAAUGAAGAGAGUUGGAAAGCUCCGCCAUAGAAGGUAAUAGCCCUGUAAUUGAAACGAGAAAGCUACUAGUAUGAUCCAGAGUACCACGGGACACGUGAAACCCUGUGGGAAGCAGGAGGGACCAUCCUCCAAGCCUAAAUACUACCUAGUGACCGAUAGCGCAUAGUACCGUGAGGGAAAGGUGAAAA